GCCCCAGGGACAUGUAUGAGUUUGAUCCUGGCUCAGGACGAACGCUGGCGGCGUGCCUAAUACAUGCAAGUCGAGCGGACAGAUGGGAGCUUGCUCCCUGAUGUUAGCGGCGGACGGGUGAGUAACACGUGGGUAACCUGCCUGUAAGACUGGGAUAACUCCGGGAAACCGGGGCUAAUACCGGAUGGUUGUCUGAACCGCAUGGUUCAGACAUAAAAGGUGGCUUCGGCUACCACUUACAGAUGGACCCGCGGCGCAUUAGCUAGUUGGUGAGGUAACGGCUCACCAAGGCGACGAUGCGUAGCCGACCUGAGAGGGUGAUCGGCCACACUGGGACUGAGACACGGCCCAGACUCCUACGGGAGGCAGCAGUAGGGAAUCUUCCGCAAUGGACGAAAGUCUGACGGAGCAACGCCGCGUGAGUGAUGAAGGUUUUCGGAUCGUAAAGCUCUGUUGUUAGGGAAGAACAAGUGCCGUUCAAAUAGGGCGGCACCUUGACGGUACCUAACCAGAAAGCCACGGCUAACUACGUGCCAGCAGCCGCGGUAAUACGUAGGUGGCAAGCGUUGUCCGGAAUUAUUGGGCGUAAAGCGCGCGCAGGCGGCCUCUUAAGUCUGAUGUGAAAGCCCCCGGCUCAACCGGGGAGGGCCAUUGGAAACUGGGAGGCUUGAGUAUAGGAGAGAAGAGUGGAAUUCCACGUGUAGCGGGUGAAAAUGCGUAGAGAUGUGGAGGAACACCAGUGGCGAAGGCGACUCUUUGGCCUAUAACUGACGCUGAGGGCGCGAAAGCGUGGGGAGCAAACAGGAUUAGAUACCCCUGGUAGUCCACGCCGUAAACGAUGAGUGCUAGGUGUUGGAGGGUUCCCGCCCUUCAGUGCUGAAGCUACGCAUUAGCACUCCCGCCUGGGUAGUACGGUCGCAAGGGCUGAAACUCAAAGGAAUUGACGG
rnacentral:rRNA from 1 species